rnacentral:rRNA from 1 species
GAAACCGGAGCUAAUACCGGAUAAUAUAUUGAACCGCAUGGUUCAAUAGUGAAAGACGGUUUUGCUGUCACUUAUAGAUGGAUCCGCGCCGCAUUAGCUAGUUGGUAAGGUAACGGCUUACCAAGGCAACGAUGCGUAGCCGACCUGAGAGGGUGAUCGGCCACACUGGAACUGAGACACGGUCCAGACUCCUACGGGAGGCAGCAGUAGGGAAUCUUCCGCAAUGGGCGAAAGCCUGACGGAGCAACGCCGCGUGAGUGAUGAAGGUCUUCGGAUCGUAAAACUCUGUUAUUAGGGAAGAACAAAUGUGUAAGUAACUAUGCACGUCUUGACGGUACCUAAUCAGAAAGCCACGGCUAACUACGUGCCAGCAGCCGCGGUAAUACGUAGGUGGCAAGCGUUAUCCGGAAUUAUUGGGCGUAAAGCGCGCGUAGGCGGUUUUUUAAGUCUGAUGUGAAAGCCCACGGCUCAACCGUGGAGGGUCAUUGGAAACUGGAAAACUUGAGUGCAGAAGAGGAAAGUGGAAUUCCAUGUGUAGCGGUGAAAUGCGCAGAGAUAUGGAGGAACACCAGUGGCGAAGGCGACUUUCUGGUCUGUAACUGACGCUGAUGUGCGAAAGCGUGGGGAUCAAACAGGAUUAGAUACCCUGGUAGUCCACGCCGUAAACGAUGAGUGCUAAGUGUUAGGGGGGUUUCCGCCCCUUAGUGCUGCAGCUAACGCAUUAAGCACUCCGC